rnacentral:rRNA from 1 species
CCUACGGGUGGCUGCAGUGGGGAAUAUUGCACAAUGGGCGCAAGCCUGAUGCAGCCAUGCCGCGUGUGUGAAGAAGGCCUUCGGGUUGUAAAGCACUUUCAGCGGGGAGGAAGGCGGUGAGGUUAAUAACCUCAUCGAUUGACGUUACCCGCAGAAGAAGCACCGGCUAACUCCGUGCCAGCAGCCGCGGUAAUACGGAGGGUGCAAGCGUUAAUCGGAAUUACUGGGCGUAAAGCGCACGCAGGCGGUCUGUCAAGUCGGAUGUGAAAUCCCCGGGCUCAACCUGGGAACUGCAUUCGAAACUGGCAGGCUAGAGUCUUGUAGAGGGGGGUAGAAUUCCAGGUGUAGCGGUGAAAUGCGUAGAGAUCUGGAGGAAUACCGGUGGCGAAGGCGGCCCCCUGGACAAAGACUGACGCUCAUGUGCGAAAGCGUGGGGAGCAAACAGGAUUAGAUACCCCGGUAGUC